rnacentral:rRNA from 1 species
AGCAGUAGCCGCGGGAAUACAGAGGGUGCGAGCGUUAAUCGGAUUUACUGGGCGUAAAGCGUGCGUAGGCGGCUUUUUAAGUCGGAUGUGAAAUCCCUGAGCUUAACUUAGGAAUUGCAUUCGAUACUGGGAAGCUAGAGUAUGGUAGAGGAUGGUAGAAUUCCAGGUGUAGCGGUGAAAUGCGUAGAGAUCUGGAGGAAUACCGAUGGCGAAGGCAGCCAUCUGGCCUAAUACUGACGCUGAGGUACGAAAGCAUGGGGAGCAAACAGGAUUAGAUACCCCGGUAGUCCCUGUCUCUUAUAC